rnacentral:rRNA from 1 species
UACGUAGGGUGCGAGCGUUGUCCGGAAUUAUUGGGCGUAAAGAGCUCGUAGGCGGUGUGUCGCGUCGGCCGUGAAAACCUGGGGCUCAACUCUGGGCGUGCGGUCGAUACGGGCAUCACUUGAGUUCGGCAGGGGAGACUGGAAUUCCUGGUGUAGCGGUGAAAUGCGCAGAUAUCAGGAGGAACACCGGUGGCGAAGGCGGCAUCCUGGACCGGUAUUGACACUGAGGCGCGAAAGCCAGGGGAGCAAACGGG